UUGUGUGUGGCCCCCUUGAACAAGUUGCC
rnacentral:piRNA from 1 species